GACGGAGGAUGCAAGUGUUAUCCGGAAUCACUGGGCGUAAAGCGUCUGUAGGUGGUCAAAUAAGUCAACUGUUAAAUCUUAAGGCUCAACCUCAAAAUCGCAGUCGAAGCUAUUAGACUAGAGUAUAGUAGGGGUAAAGGGAAUUUCCAGUGGAGCGGUGAAAUGCGUAGAGAUUGGAAAGAACACCGAUGGCGAAGGCACUUUACUGGGCUAUUACUAACACUCAGAGACGAAAGCUAGGGUAGCAAAUGGG
rnacentral:rRNA from 1 species